CAGACACACACACACACACGCACAUAGACAUAUACACAAAUGCAAACACAGACACCUACACGUUUACACAAUUGUGUUAUAGUGCAACCAUAUAAUAGUUUGAUAUUAUGCAAACCUAAGCUUAGUUCGUCAUUCAGAACAAAUGUACUAUGUCUUAAAAGCCAUGGCGACAAUUAAUAUAUUGCUUAGUAUAUGGAUGAAUUGCUUAGUAUAUUGAUAAAUGUAAUCACUCUGAGCCCGUUGUGUCACACAGAAUAAAAAACAGUUUAGUGAACAGUUAUUUUAAUACUGCAACAAGUAAUCAUUAGCAGUCCAUAAACAGGUGACUUAAAAUCAAAUUCAUCCAUAGAUUAAAGUACAGAUCCCUUUCAGUGGGGCAUUCUCAGAGAGCUGUUUCAGUGUGUGUCAUUCGAGAUCAGGGGAACAGUUGAAGUGUACCUACAUACGGACUUUAAACGCAUAAGCACUGGAUAACGAGUUUUAACAGCAUGUCCCCGUAGUUUUAGUAAAAUGUAUUUAGUUAACUUUGAAGCAAAGGAUGCUGCGUGUGAUGAUUAACUGUGUGCACUGAUACACCCAUAACAUGAGUAGUUAUGGCAACACAGUGUAUUUAUUUAUAUAUGUAAUUUGGCAACUACUGAUAUAAGAUCUUCAUAAGCACACAUUUUCACGUUCUAAAAGCCCUUCAACUAAAGUCUUCCCAAAAUGAAUGUCAUGAAGGUUACUGUUCUACAGAUGAAAUGAAUGUCAUGAAGGUUACUAUGGUUACUGUUCUACAGAUGAAAUGAAUGUCAUGAAGGUUACUAUGGUUACUGUUCUACAGAUGAAAUGAAUGUCAUGAAGGUUACUAUGGUUACUGUUCUACAGAUGAAAUGAAUGCAUCACUCCUGCCGCUACAGAAAUAAGGCACUUAGAGACUCAACAGGUCAUUUUAUGUAUAUUUUCUAGCAAGCACCAAUGGAUUUUUUUGCCAAGGCAAAGAGUGGUUAAAGUCAGUCAUAAAAAGGAGGAAGAUGUUUUGUGUUGACCUCCUGUACAGUUUCUUAUUUUUUUUCUACAGAAUGCAGCACAGUAUAAAAGUCUUUACCCGCUUUAUCUAUUUGCACUUUUUUAUAAUAUUUUAUGUUUACUCAAUAUGCAGAUUUGUUCUGGUUUUAAGACUAUGUAUUGGUGAUAAGAAAGUGGUAGUAUCAACUAGUAUCCAUAAAGCAUUAUUGAUAACAUUCAUCAAUAUUUAUAACGUAAACAUCAUGCAUCAUAGCGACUGACUAUCUUUUUUUCACAGUCAAAGAGUGGUUAAAGUCAGUCACAAAAUAGAGGAUGUUGUUUUGUGUUGACCUCCUGUACAGUUUCUUAUUUUUUAAGAGUAUAAAAGUCUUAAAAUGUCAGUUGUUUUUUUAAAUGACUUGCUUUAUCUAUUUGAUGUUGACCCUAAUUAAUAUGCAAUUCUUUACAUCUUUAAAACUAUGCAUAGAUGAUAAUAAAAGUGUUCUUUAAGAGGCUAUUUCUCCGAUGUCUUAGUGAGCUGUUGUAUUCUCUCCUAUGUGUCUAUGUACUCUUCCUGCUUGACUCAGGGGUGUUUUGGUACAGUGUUGGCGCUUUGAGUCAAUUAAAGAUUUAGCCUUCAGUGA